CAAAUCUAAAAUAGAGAACUCAACAUUUCAAAAAUAUCAUGGUAAGCUAUGCUAAUCUAUCCAUAGCCACCAGAUCAGGCUAUAAUCUAUACAAAACAACAUAAGAACAGAAAACUCAAUUGUCAAGACAUUAAUAUAGACAAGCUCAACAUGGUACUCCAUUAACGUAGACAAGCUCAACAUGACAGAGAUCACAGUAGAUACUCCAUUUUCAAGUCAUUUUUACUCCAUUAAUAUAGACAGGC
rnacentral:lncRNA from 1 species